ACUUUUCUAUGAUUUGUGCAUUGUAAAAUACCCUGUUACCCCUUACAAUUGGCAUCACCCCUUGGGCGGGAAUAUGAAAUUUUUAACCACUCAAAAUAUGGUAAGUCGGUUAAGGAUAUAUAUUCAUUUUCCUUACUUAAUUUCCAUCCUUUCAGCUCAUACAGACACUAUAUUACAUUAUAGCGCUCUUGAAUGAUGUGAUUGGCACAAAUGCUAUGGAGAAGAAUUUACCUCAAAUUCGUUUAAUUCGAGAUCAUUACUUUGCCAGUUUAGCAUUUCCCUUAGCCGUGUAUGUUACUUAUCAAUAUUGGAGUUUGUAUUACAUGGGAGGUGGAUGGGUAUCUCCGCCCGUCUUUAACUCCGUCGUGCCAAAAUGGCUGAACCUAGCCGAGCAUGCAAAUGUCAGCAUAUUGAUUUUUUUCGACAUAUUCUUCUGUGCACGUAGAUAUCCUAAUCGCUUAACAAGUUUACUCAUUCUGUACAGUUAUGUGUGGGCCUACGUAGCUUGGCUCUAUUACGUAAAAGAAAAGGCUGGGUUCUGGGUUUACCAUAUUUUAACUGAUAUGACGAAAAAACAACGACGAAACACUUUUGCUGUUAUUCUAGUCAAAAUUUUGUUCAUCUACAUACAAGGUGAACUGAUAAACAACACCGUUUGGGGAAGGCAAAUAUUUUGUUUACAAAUCACCAAUGACUCUCAAUGCGAUAAGUGUACACAAGCAUGACUAAUCAACUGUACUGUCUCCUGUACGGUAGAAAAAUACAUACCACAAAAAUAGUUUCGCGAUGCAAAGAAAAAAAAAAAAAAACGAUAAUCCGUCUAGCAUUUUAAGCGGCAUCUGAUUCUGAAGUGAAAAAGCGAACGCUAUAUUUUACGCAGAUAUAAAAUUUAAGUGCACAUGAGAUUGUAAAAAUUGAAGCUAACCGGGAAGAAGUCUAGGUACAAAGUAAAAGAGUUGCAGAAUUUGUUCAAAGUAAGAAUGAACGUGCACAAAAUGGGAGCGACAGAAAGCAAGUACCGAAAAUAACAGGUUGUAGUAAAUGAAAGAGGACGUCUCAAUAAGGACUAAACAUGAAGCAAUUUUUAAAAAAGAGCAACCUCGCCUUGAUUCUAAUUUGAA